GAAUACGUGCUACUUGUAAAAGAUCUCCCAGUUUCUUAGUAGAGAAAUUGCUAACACCAAUAACUCUAGCCUUCCCGGAAUCAUAAACUUUUUCCAUUGCUUCCCAUAUGCUGGGUAUGUUGGUUGGCAUAAGAUUUUCAGGUUUAAAGUCAACUGAUCCAGGCUUCAUACUGACAGGCCAAUGGAUCUAUAGAAACAAAAGUCUCAAUUUAUUUACAAGGAUACCAUUUAAUACAGAAAAAACAAAAGAACAAGUAAAUCACUUAAAUUUAUAAAACUAAUAAUGAACUCUCUUUUGAUGUUUAAAUUUUUUCCAAGAUAUGUAGCAGUUCAACGGCAGUAUUUAUAGUUCUCAGGAGCAUCGUGGCAGCUCUAAAAUUUCGUUCUGGUGCAUCUACUUAAGGGAAGAGUGGGAGUAUAUUGCAGUGAACACUUCUUAGAAGUACAUUAUAUUAAUUUAGUAAUAUGGCUAUGAACUAUUUAGCAAAGUUAGAAAUACUAGCAGAAAGAAAGCUUCACAUUAAGAAGAACUUACGAGGUACAGGUCAACGUAUUCCAGCUGCAAGUCUUUAAGAGUUUUGUCUAGUGUGACUGGUACAUCUUCAGGUGCAUGAUUAGUGUUCCUAAAAAUGUUAAUACACUUGAAUGUAUGAGUAUCCUGAAACACUAUGGAGACCAUGAUGGAAAAAACAGAGGCCCAUCAGCACCAUUUUAGUGCUAAAAGCAGAGUAGGUAUUGAAUUACCAAGCUAUCAGGACACAUAAAUGAUAAAAGAGGGAACUCAACAAUGAUAAACAAAAGACCAAUGGUAAAAGAUUGAUGAGAAUAACUCCACAAAGUUGAACAAGUUAACUUCAUAAUGGAAAGAAAUUGACUCAGCAUAUUUCAAUUUUAGGGCGAACAACAGGGAGGUAAGUUGUAAUAGGAAUGUUUGAAUACAUACCAGAGUUUGGAUGUAAUGAAUAGAUCUUGCCUCUUGACAACACCAUCUUUAAACAGCCUGCUCAAAACUUCACCAAUCUUUGAAGAAGAAAAAAAUGAGACAAGGAAAUAUAUGUAGUGACAGGUUAUUCUAGAAAGCAGGACAUGUUUUACAUUCUAACAAAAUGAAACUUUGUUUGAACAAAUUUAACAAAACAGACCAGAAAAUGUUAAUGACAGAUUGAUCUGGAAACAAAUGAUAAUCAUUGAUCACCUUUCCCUAGGCAAAAGAUGAAGUCCAAAACCAUCAAAGAUUGACACAAGAUUUUUCCACAAGACCUUAAUAGUAUAGGCAGAAUGUCUAUCACAUCAAUAGGGCACCUAAAGUGCCACCUUAAUGGCUACUUUGCAUAUGUACUGAUUUUUCAGAUCUUAACAUAAAGCGAUAAUUUCCCAUGUUGCAGCAAUAUUUAGGGAACAGUACACAAGAUACAUUAAAGCCGCAUUUACACUUAAAAUUGAGAUUUGUAAGUGAUAACUUGAUAAGCCCCUCUAUCAUGCCGUCUCAGUGCAAGACAGCCACUGGAUGCAAAAAAACAAGCUAUUAUUUUUACUUUAUUUUAGGAAGUAAAUAAAUAAGUGUCCCUCCCCAAUGAUUUAAAAUCCUUUCAGACAAGAUAGUCAUACAGUUUGACAUGAUCUCCGACCCAUCAACAGAUUAUCUACACAUGUUCGUCCCUAAAACGAACAUGGCCGACAAAUAAAGGGGUGUGUUGUAGAUAUAAAAUAAAUAAUAAAAGUGUCAUUUCCGCUUUUAGAUGAGAGAACCACUUCAAUACUAUGCAAUGUUCAGUAUGAUUAAAGCCAAAUUACCUCCUUCUCAUUUUUAUAAAUUUGAGCACAAUCAAUAUGCCGGUAACCCAUCUGUAGCAAAAAGAAGAGAAUGAUUAGGUUGUGCCAGAAUGCCAAAAUCACUAAGUUGCAAGUGACACUUCAAAGUGGUUGAACUCUUAGAACUACUCCAAAGUUACUUUAGUAGCAUUGUAGUAACAUAACUUCUUAACAUCUAUUUUGGCCAUUACAAGUAAGAACUACGAUACAGAAAAUAAUUCUCAAAGAAGAGCAAUGCACCCACUAAUAUAUACAUUUCCAUAAACUCAAAUAAAAGUUAGACCCAUGCACAAUUUCAUCACUAAGCAUAUGUGGGAAGUGGGAACACAUAUUUCCUUCACUUUUUUCCACAUUUGAACGGGAUACCAGUGUAAUCUUCUACAAAUACUCUAGGAAAGUAUAUAUUAAAGGGAAAAAGCAUUCAGAAUAUGUAUCUCUAAUUUUGAAUCCGACCACCUCCAAUAGUAAGAGCUUCUACUCAUUGUUUUCAAAUUCAUAAACAAACACCACGUCCAGAGAGAACACUGCUGUUUACCAGAGACAAUCUCUCUGCCCUCGAUACUAACUAUUUAAUCUUUUCACACCUAGAGACUUAAGGAAUAUAGCACUAUUUCCAAUCAAACAUAGUGCUCACUCAAUAACAUUUCAUGUGACAUACUUUCCUUUACACUCUUAUCGCAAAAAAAAAUUGACACCUUUCAACUUUAGAAACAAAUUCAUUUUACCCUUAAUGAAAUUAUUACAAUGUUUAUGACUUGUAUACCACAACUCUCAAAAGUUUUUUCCUUUCUUAAACUAUGUCCACAGAAGUCUUUUGUGUUCUGAGGCAUAAUCCACUCCAUAGUCAGCUUAGGAUACUAAUAAAUUAAGGACGAGUACCAGCAGAACAUAGCAAAACACAUAUAUCCAUCUUUAUUCAUAUGAGUUUUUUCCCCUAAACUUAAUUGAAACAACUAAACAAAAAUUAACAGUUUAGCGCCAACUUUAUGCACUGCAAUUUUGAUAGAGAUCGUUUGCACUAUAUUAUAAAAGCGGAAUGCGUUUUCUAUAUGAUGUAAGUCUCUACCGAAGUGUUUGUUAUAUAUUUUAAAUUACGAAUAAUAAAUCUUAAAUUAUAAACUAAAAUCUCAGCAGUAUAUACUACUUAUUACACAUGCGUUUUCAUGCUUUUCUCAAGACUUAUGAAGUAUUUGGAGACGCAAAACAAGCAUUCACGAAAUUUCACUCUAUAAAACAUAAGUCACAGAAGCUCGAAUCACGUUAGAUCGAGUCUCGUUGAAGAAGAAAAACAAAGUAUCAACUGUUAAUUCGUAAGUAAUUAAAUCUACAUAGAUAGAAACUAAAACUACAGAUACACAGAUAUAUGGCGAGAGAUAGACAGAAAAAACCUUGAUAGCAGUCUCCACAGCUUUGCCGACGACACCGGGAUCGGACUGCCAUGUUCCCAAACCGACCGCCGGAAUGCUGAAACCGGUAUUCAACUUAAAGUACGGCAUCUCCGUCGCCUCCGCCAUUGAUACAAAAAGAGGAGGGAAAUUGAAAAAAAAGAUAGUGAACCGUAUACUGCCAAAGAGAGAAAAAGUUAUUGAUGAGUACAGAGUAGCAAUGCGAAUUGAACUUUGCACUUCCCCUCUCCUUAUAUAUAUAUUAUGUAAAAGAAAUGAAGAUAAUGUGUCAGUUACAACUGUUCCCUUCUGAAGCUGACACAUGGUUUGUCAUUUCACUGUAGUCAGAACGAUUUGUCGACUUUUGUCGUUAUUCUAGAUGGUUAUUUUUGGGGGAAAUGCGAAGGUCUUUUUCAAAAAAUUAAUCUGUCAUUCAUUAGACGGCAGAAUCUUGUCUAAAUAAAUCAAUUCUAGAUUUGGAAAAAGGGCUCAUAACGAAGGCCGUACAAAAAUUGAUUUAAUCGAUUUAUCAAAUCGAAUCAAAAAAGAUAUUAUUAAUUUAUGAGAAAAAUAUUUAAAAAAUAUUUUUAAAUUUGACGUCGAUUAUUAGUUUUAUCUCUAAAUUAUUAAUGGUCUUAAAAACAUUCAUCUACUUGACUAACUAAACUUAAAUACACACAUGACAUAGCAAGUAGUCAAACUCUUGUAGAGGCAUGGAGCUCUUAAUAAAACAUCAAGGGAAGGGUUGAAAGCACUUCUAAAUUUGACGAGAAUUUAGGAGUGUAUUUCCCUCAUUAUGCAAGAUCGGGAUAUAUUUAAGUUCAAUUAGUCAAUUAAAGGAGUGUUUUUUCUAGUUGACAAUAGUUAGGGAAUGAAACUAGGCAAGAAAGGAUGAUGUGGAGGUCAUACCCGAAGACGUCUUGCUCGAUACAGAGUGGGUUACGAAGGUUAGAGCGAGGAUGAACGCAGUUGAGAUACUAGGUCAACGCUUGGAAAAGGUAGAAGGCACUCUAAGCGUUCUUGAGGGGCACACUCUCGAGAAGAUUGAGAUCAUCUGAAAUGAUUUGGAUGGCAUACACAAAAGGUAAAACCAAGAUAGAGAUAAGGCAAAUUAUCGUUACUUUAGAGUAGUCGUUGAGCACUAAUGAUACCAUGAAGGUAAAAAUGGAGGUACUCAAAGAGCAGGUUAACGUUGGCGUGACUGAGACAAUCAGAAAUAUUGUGGUGAUGAGGGAGGCUAAAGACAAUUUAUGGUAUUUUGAUUUUGAGAUAUUGCAAAACACAUAGCAUAAUUAUUGGUGUUAUAUACCACAAAUAUACAGUUGAAAAUAAAAUGAUAAAAAUGAAUAAAAAAUAUAUUCAGACUGAGCCGCGGAUAUCUCACAUUCUUUAAGAAGAUUCAAUCUCAUUGUGGCAUAAUUUACACAGAUCCAACAAUAUCACUCUUGACUUGUCAUCUUCCGAAUACCACAACUCAACAGUAUCGUACAACUCGAACAACUCUCGGUUAAUUGAAGAGUUCAAAAGUCCACAAAAAGAAUAUCUUCCUUCACCAUAUUACUCUCUUUUGUAUAAUGAAUUAGUUGAAGACUUAAAAUACUAUUAUUUAUCUUAACUCUCUCUUUCACUACAGUAAUUCAAUAUAUACAUAAUACAAUACUUCUCGUCUCUUCUUACACUUUUCUUUUGUUUUUAAUACAAAGUAAGAGCACACUAUUUAUAAGUGAAGAAUUUUUCAUUGCAAUAAAUAGAAAGAUUAUGAGUAGUAAUUAGAUAAAUAAAUAAUCCAAAAUUUAUAUGAAUUACUAACAUAAUUAAUAAGAUAGAAUAAUGAGUUGAAUUUUCAUAGCUGAUAGCAACAAUAAAUUUUCAUAAGUAAUAAUAAAUUUUCAUAAGUAAAGUUUGGACUUUUAUAUUUGUUAGUUAAUUUUACAUGUUUAUGUACUAAGUUUGACUUAUCCAUGUUCAGAACAUUAUAAAAUUAGCAUAUUUUGUACUUCUGGCUUGCAAAAUAGUUUAUUUUUACCUCUUUUUCACUAACGAAGCCAUUAAAAAAAUUAAUAAAUAUGGAAAACGUCCAAAUUCGGCUCUCUAAUUUGUGAAGUAUUUACUUUAGCCCUCAGUAUAAUAAUAUUAUCUUUUCUCACUAAGAGCUCCACUUUGAACCACAAUUUUAUGCAUGUUAAAAACUACAAAAUUAUACUUGACCAUUAAUUGAACCACCUCUUAAUUACUACUUUACUACCGUUGUUUACUCAUUGCAUGUGUUACAACACAUUAGUCAGUAACAGGAGAAGACUGAGACAGGAACUAAAAAUAGCACUGCCAAGUGAAAUUUAAGCAUGCUAUGUGUGUGUGUUAGUUUCAUGUCAUGCGUGCGCUUGAUUCAAGUAGUAUGAGAAACACGUUCAAUUGCCAAGUAUUAACAGUGAUGUUUAAACCCUCAAAUAUUCUGUUUUUUUUUUUCCUUUCCCCGUCUGAUGGACAAAACUAAAAGUACUUAAUUCAUCCACCAAACGAAAGGAAGGAGACAUAGCCUCACCAGGAGCAUAGUAUUUAACUACUCCACAAUAAAAGAUGACUGCAAAAGUUGAUGGUUUAGGGGUAGUAUUAUCCCAGCAAAUCAAAUUUUUGAAUACUGUCUCGUAGUUGAAUGGUUUUCCAGCAUAGAGUCAAUAGAGGGAUAGGGGGUGCAAGGAAACCUACAUCUAAUGGUUUGAAAAUUCAUCGAUCACCAAAAGUUCAAAGGAAAAGGAAGUGCACAAGAAGCUUGAAUCUCUGAGACAAAUGGAUUAAGAUUUGCCUAUCUUUGACAGUUAACUCAUACUGUGACCUUAGAUCUCAUCAUCCCACAGCUCUUCAAGUGUUCUGUACUGGCCAUGCGUCUCGUGAACAAAUGAAAUGCCUCUCAGCAGCCUUGCCUGCAAUGUCAAUAAAUCCAUGAACUGCAUUAAUAGAGUUUGUGAUCAAAAUAUCUGGUAAACAGACUUAUAUAGACACUUAUCGCAACCAUCCAGGAAGUUUAAAGAGUAUAAGUGAGGCAGGGCACAGAUAAAAGGGGAUUUCAUUUUCUUUUGGUCCCGAUGGGGUGUUGUCUAACUAGCACACCGCAGUAUAUGGUCAUGCAUAUUAGACGUUCGUUUGACAGUAUGAAUCUGUCACAAGUAAGAGGUAUCAAAGCAUCUAUUUGUAAAUUAUAUGAAUGUCACCAAGCGGUAUCAAAGAAGUCAUGAAUACAAGUCUGACAGAGAUUCAUUAUGUGCAAUGCAAGUCUCAUUCGUGUUUCUUUCUUCAUUUUUAUUUACUUUUCCCUUGGAACAUGGAUUGCUAUCUCAGAGAAGAUAUACAGCCAAUUUCUAGGUCCGUUUGCACUUUUCAAAUUUGAAAUUAAUAUGAUAAGAGAGAACAAAUUUACAAUUGCAAUCUCAGUAAUAUCAAAAGAAAUUGCCAUAACAAUGAAAGAAUUUACCUGUGGAAUUUCAGAGAACCUGGCAAGCAAGUCAUCAGGUAUAGACCAGUUCAGUACAUCAAGAUUCUCUUUAAUCCGUGCUUCAUGUGUGCUCUUAGGAAGUACACUCUGACCCAUCUGAAUGCCCCAACGAAGACAAACCUGUGCAGGAGUCUUGCCCAAUUUCUCAGCAACUGAGAUUACAGCUGGCUGCUUUAGCACAUCACUUUUAAGCCAUGUUGUACCUGGAGACCCAAGCGGCGAAUAUGCCUGAAAUAAAAAGGUGUCGAGAAAAGGAGUAAAAACAGUAACUCAUUGUCAAUCUACUCAUGUAGACAGAUGACUAGUCAAUGGUUACCAACAACCAAACUCAUGGAACAAAUAAAUUCAUCCCCUAUGAACAAUUGUUCACAGUAAUCAGAAGAAAAUGGAAAUUGGAGAAAAAUCUAAUGAAAACUUGACCACAAUGUACACAAGGGGUACAAGAGCUUUAGAAAUGAACUCACAGAGAGGUGCACUUCAUUGGAUUUACAGAACUCGCGCAAUUUGGCUUGUUGCCACGAAGGAUGGCACUCCACCUGGUUGACAGCAGGACGAAUACGUGCUACUUGUAAAAGAUCUCCCAGUUUCUUAGUAGAGAAAUUGCUAACACCAAUAACUCUAGCCUUCCCGGAAUCAUAAACUUUUUCCAUUGCUUCCCAUAUGCUGGGUAUGUUGGUUGGCAUAAGAUUUUCAGGUUUAAAGUCAACUGAUCCAGGCUUCAUACUGACAGGCCAAUGGAUCUAUAGAAACAAAAGUCUCAAUUUAUUUACAAGGAUACCAUUUAAUACAGAAAAAACAAAAGAACAAGUAAAUCACUUAAAUUUAUAAAACU
rnacentral:lncRNA from 1 species